GACGAACGCUGGCGGCGUGCCUAACACAUGCAAGUCGAGCGGAGCCAUCCAAACAAUCCCUUCGGGGUGCGUUUGGGGGAGCUUAGCGGCGGACGGGUGAGUAACGCGUGAGUAACCUGCCCAUUAGUGGGGAAUCACACAGAGAACUUUGUGCUAAUACCGCAUACGGAAUACUCAAGGCAUCUUGAUAGGUGAAAAGAUUUAUCGCUAGUGGAUGGACUCGCGUCUGAUUAGAUAGUUGGUGAGGUAACGGCUCACCAAGUCCACGAUCAGUAGCCGAACUGAGCGGUUGAUCGGCCACAAUGGGACUGAGACACGGCCCAGACUCCUACGGGAGGCAGCAGUAGGGGAUAUUGCGCAAUGGGGGAAACCCUGACGCAGCAACGCCGCGUGCAGGAUUACGGCCUUCGGGUUGUAAACUGUUGUCGCAAGGGAAGAAAAAAAUGACGGUUCCUUGUGAGAAAGCCACGGCUAACUACGUGCCAGCAGCCGCCGUAACAC
rnacentral:rRNA from 1 species